AACGAACGCUGGCGGCAUGCCUAACACAUGCAAGUCGAACGAUUGCCUUCGGGUGAUAGUGGCGCACGGGUGCGUAACGCGUGGGAAUCUGCCCUUAGGUUCGGAAUAACAGCUGGAAACGGCUGCUAAUACUGGAUGAUUUCGCGAGAUCAAAGAUUUAUCGCCUGAGGAUGAGCCCGCGUUGGAUUAGGUAGUUGGUGGGGUAAAGGCCUACCAAGCCGACGAUCCAUAGCUGGUCUGAGAGGAUGAUCAGCCACACUGGGACUGAGACACGGCCCAGACUCCUACGGGAGGCAGCAGUGGGGAAUAUUGGACAAUGGGCGCAAGCCUGAUCCAGCAAUGCCGCGUGAGUGAUGAAGGCCCUAGGGUUGUAAAGCUCUUUUACCCGGGAAGAUAAUGACUGUACCGGGAGAAUAAGCCCCGGCUAACUCCGUG
rnacentral:rRNA from 1 species